AACAAGGCCUUGUGGCCUUUGGCCUAUUCAACAUACACAAACAUUUUAUAUUUUUACCUGACGUUAGUGGGGAAGUGGGAGUUAGUAUAUUUCAACGUGUCUUAUUUUUUCCUCUAAAGCCAAGAUAGCUGAGGGUUUAGAGAGAUAGCGUGGAAACAAGAAGAGAAAAAUAGUGAAAGAGAGUUCUCUGUGAAUUUCAGUGGUGUUGCUAAAAGGGUUGCUAAUUGUUUUGCUAAUCAAGGUAUAAACUAUCCCUAUUUUUAUUUUUAGUUUUGGUAGUAUAUGUAUAUAUAUAUAUAUAUAUAUUUUGAUGUGAUUGAAAAUCACGUGAAUUGUGGUAUGUAUAUAUGUUCAUAUAGUUUUGCAAAAACUCUGUUAAUCAUCAUGAAUACUUGUUAUUUGUUAUCAAAUUCGUGUAAAUUGGGUGUAGGAAGAAAAAGGAAAAACCACAGUGUUAUGUUCAUAUAGUAUGGCUUAGAAAGUGUAAAAUUUUUUGUCCAACAUGUGAUGUAAUAUGAAAUUUGUUGUUGGAUUAUGUUAAUAUGAUUAGAAACAAAAAC
rnacentral:lncRNA from 1 species